AAAGGCCUUGUUUUAAUAUGCAUGUUUUGAAUAUUUUAGUCUGAUUUGUUUUAUAUAUAACCCAUUAAUGGGAACUAAUGCAUAGAACUACAUUUAAAAUGUGUGUGGAAACUUUUGUUACAUGUGAAAUUUAAGACUCAGAGUGCAGGAAGGCCUAAAAUAGUAUUAUUGUUUAUAGUUUCCACUGAACACUAUAUAAAGGUAUGCUGAGUUUAUAAAUGCAAUGAUCAAAGAACUAGAGAAAUGAUGUACCGUGAAUGCUUGAUUUUUUUAAGUGUGUAAAUAGCUAUUUAAAAUAUUCGAAUGCUGUAUCAUAGUAUCCAUACUAUAAGUUUAUAUUAGUAGCUAAGAAACCACUACAAGCUUUCUUGUUUGUAAUGAGGUCCACAAAUCCAUGAUAUUGCAUACUCUGCCCUGUAGCGUUGGAGGCAGAUGUGAUCGGUAAAUCGGAGGUAGAGGAAGCAUGUCUCCACCUCUCAGAAUCCCCAGCUUUGUGUGUGUGUGUCUGUCUGUCUGUCUCUCUCUCUCUCUCUCUAGUGACAGGCAGACCAGGUCAUCCCUACUGCAGAGCAAAUUUAAAGAGAGAAAAAUGGCAUAAAAUCUCCAGGCUGUCACAUCUUCCUUUAUUGGCAGAAAGGAUUCCCUUUCUUCUCAGUUGCUGGAACUUUCUGCAUUCCCUGCUCACCCAUGCAGACUGCAGCAUGGCAGAGAAGGCUAAGAGGAAAAACCUGCAUUGUUUCCUGCACGUGUUCUGCUAAUUAAUGUCUGCAUGGAGAUCUCUGCUUGUCCUGUGGAGACCCAGGCACUUCAUGUGCUCAGACAAGGGCAGUGUUUCCAGAAGACCCCCUCCUUCAAACAGGAGAGUUCCCAGGAACACGUGGCAAUACCUCACCAGCAAAAUCCCUCAGGCCUGACACAGAUGACAGCAGCAGCCUUGGGACCAGGAAGUGGCAGCUUGCUCUUCCCCACCCAAUGCGGGGACGAGUGUUUCUUCUAGUUCCCUGGUGUCCAUUCUACAAUGUCAGAUGCCUUGGUGUGCACUAGUCAAAAUUUUAUUCUAGUGUCACUAGUGAAGAUAAAUGGUGGUCAAGGACUUGUAGCAUCUAGCGGGAAAACAUUUUUACCGGAAAGCGUGGCCCCUUCGUUGCAUGUGAAGGGCCUAUAUAGUGAAGUCCAGGCAGGCUUCACCUCAUCACCUUCAUUCGGGCCUUAAAACUAUCGAGGUCACCAGGCCCACAAGAAUAACUAAAUAACCAAAGAAAAUUGUCAUCUGACUCCCCAAGUGCCCUUGCAUGCCUUCACAAACAAUGCUAAUGUGGGUGGACAGUAUUGCAAGUAUGGUCUCUCUCAACUUGUUUUAAAAAAAAUUGUACAGACUCCCCGGAGGAGUCAGGGAAUGCAGACCGCUAUCCUAGAUAUCCUAUGAAUGGGUGCAAAUGAACCUGUCCCUGCUCUUCAAAAUCAAAGCCUUCCAUGUUUUUCCUAGGCCAUCCCCAAAAGAAUCAGAAAGCUACAGCUAUCAGGAUGCACUUCACUGCUAUCUCAGCUUUUCACACUCAUGCAAGGGUUGACAGUAUUCACUCACUACAAUAACCAUGUUGAUGAAAGUAUUGUUGUACCACCGGCACCAUAGGCUUGAAUCCUAUUCUCACAAAGCUAGUGCAGCCUCUGUUCAAACUUAAGUCAAACUGUUCUAUGUACCAUUUAUCUUUUGAGGACAGUAAUCUUCAUAGCCAUUACACCAGCCCGAAGUUGUGAUACGAUUCUGUUUCUCCCAAUGUUGUGUUCCAUAAGAAUAAGGUGAUUGUCUCUUUAUUCAUAAUUCUUGUCUAAAUUGACCCCUGAUUCCAUGUUAAUGGGGCAGUAACCCUGUUUAGAUCUCCCCCCCACCCCCAACCUCAUUGGUAUUUAAAGGAGCUCAAACUCUGUAUUCUAGAUGUUUGGAGGGCCCAAAGUUUGAUUCUAAAUAGACAAUUUGUUCUGGUUCCCCAUGCCUCUCAGGCAGAUGAAGGAAGACCAGGGCUAUGCCAAUCACAGCCCAAAGGCUGUCUAAAUGUUUGACACUAUGUAUUACUCUUGUGAUCUUGCAGGUGUUCAGCCUUCUGGAGAUGUCUGUUUAAGCAGAACUAGACACAUGGCAGUUCUUAUAGUGUGUUCUUGCUCUGUCAUCGUCUUAGUAUUUUUCAGAGCUGCUAAUUGAAACUCUGUAUGCUCUAAGUGGCAAUGUUUCCCUCAACUUGGUCUCUAAAUCAGAGGCCCAGUUUGGGAGAACAGUAUUAGUCAUUUCUUACUAAUACUCUCAACUUGACUCUCCAAACUGAUGUACUAUUUGGGAGGAUAUUUCUGUACUCUGUUAAACUAGAACUUCUCCACCAACCCGAGUGGAGAUUGUAGUGCUUACUAAAUGCCUACAAGUGGGAACAGAGCAAGCAGAGGCCACCUUGAAGAAGAAAGUUACUUACAGUAACUGUAGUUCUCUUGGUGUUUAUGCUCAGUACCCACCCUCUCUUCAAAUCUUUGGAGUCUAGUAUUAAGUAUUGCCAUUGAAGGACAGCAAGAAAAGAACAUAGAAAGGAAAUGUGGCCCCAACUGUCACUGCUCUCUAUAUUCCAUGUUUGUAUGUCCCACUUAUCCACAUGUGGGAAUGUGCAGCAAUGCUCUUGAGCUAACCUUACUGAUUAGUAGCUUCUCUAUUUCAGUUUGUAAACUUUGAGGCCAGUAGCAGCUGAGAACGCUGUGUAAAUAGUAUGUUCAGUCAUUGUAGAGAAAAGAUUACUUUGUACUAUUCUUGAACUACUUUUCCCAGUUUAUAGUUGUGGCCAAAUCCCUUGGCUGGAGGAAAGGAUUAUUGGGAACAGCAAGGGAAAAUUGGGGAAUUUACCCUCCAAAAAUGUAUUUAAUUCUGUAUAAUAAUUUGAGCUUUCAUUUAAAUUUUUGUAGAAGGACCUGCAUUUUUCAAAAAUAAUUUAAGAACUUUCUUAAUGCAAUAAAUUAAACACAGCCCAUGUUGUUUGUUUGAGGAUUCCAUAUGCUCUUUAUUGAGAGUUUGUAUAGCAUGCGGUUCUCAAACCUGGGGUUCAGGACCCCUCAGGGGUUGUGAUGUUAUUACAGGGGGGUCAUAAGCUGUCAGCCUCCAUCCAAACCCUGCUUUGCCUCCAGCAUUUAUAAUGGUGGUAAAUAUAUAAAGAAGUCUUUUUAAUUUUAUAAGAGGGGGUCAUACUCGGAGGCUUGCUGUGUGAAAGGGAUCACCAGUGCAAAAGUUUGAGAACUACUGGUAUAGCAUACAUCAGUCAGGCAAAUGAUGCAAUAAACAUUGCCUUACCUUGCAUCUAAACAAUUAUAUAAUUGCAGAAUAAGGAAAUGAGACAAUGGGUAGAUGCUCAGAUACUAAAGUAUAUACACAGAAAUAACAGGGUGGGUCUUUAAUGUGGAUGAAUUGUACUGGUGCUUCAAAAUACAUAAUUAUGUAUGUUCUGCAUGAUGGACGUUUGGGAAGCGAUUCCAGGAUGUAUUUUCCCAUUUUGUCUUAUAGCUGAUAAAUGGACUUGUCCUUCAGCCAUUCCUUAUGUCCGGGUGUCUUAUUUUUCUUCCCAAUGUUUAAGAAUUAUACAUGUGGCUAUAAUCAUAGCUACUAUUUCCCUAAAUAAUGUGUGAGAUCACAGUUCAGAAUAAUCAAAAACACAGAUGGGCUUGCAUCUUCCCAAUAUCUUAAUGCUUUAGUUUUUGGUGUAUUUCUAGCCAAUAUUUUGCUGUAGUAGGGCAAUACUUUAUAUACUCCCUUUUUGACAUGGCCAGGUGUGAACAGUGGAUUUACAUCCUAAUUUCUGAAGUUUGAGGAGUAAAAUGAAAUCUUUCAUUUUUACAAUCUGUAGUCAUUUUAAAAUUGAUACCUGGUUGCUCUGUACCCAUUUUACUAGCUUUCUGUUUUAUAUUUUGACUACUAGCUUCUGUGUUAAAUGCAAUGUUUUCUGUCUUGGAUUAUUGGGAAAUUGUUAAGCCACUUAAUGUUUGAAGUAUUUAGAAGGUUUCCUAGGUUUUUUUGUUUGUGUUUUUUGUUUUUGUUUUGUUUUUAAAUACAGGAUGGAUUUGGAGACUAUGUAUUCCAUCACUGCAUAUACCAGCCAGUCGUAUUACAAUUGUCUAGCCAUAUUUUGUAUAAUGUGGGCCAGAUUCUUCCCUUCCCUUUCUGAUCCCUCUUCAUAGGUUCAGUGAUACAAAGGGGUGAAUCCAGUUGAAUCUGUUCAGCUGAGAACUCCCCUGGUAUGAGUAUUCUCAGCCUGGCUUUACACCAGCUAUCAGGCUCCUCUGCCUCUACUUCCCCCAUAGGCCAAAUGGUAUGGAGGGGUAUGGCCAGUGCUUCAGCUCUUCUCAGCUGGUAGACUGUCUCUUUUAGGAAAGUUGCCAGUUGGCAUACGUUCAAGUUGUCCCUGUUCUGUUCUAGUUGACACUGGGACCAGGGACAACUGAGGCAGAAUCAGAAAGCCAAAACAAGCUAUUUGAAGCUUUCUUUACUGUGCUAAGUUGAUCUUGAAUGUAGAUCUGUUUCUGUAUUUUCAUAUUCUACUUUAAAUACCUGUCUUGCCGGAUAAGCUCCCGGCUUAAGUAUCUGGCUAGGUAUAUGUUCACAAGUGCCUGAUAGUAAGGCUAGGUCUAACUUUUAGAAGUGCUUUGCUGGUAUACUAUGCUGGCAAAGUGCUCCUCGUGUGGACACAGUUUUGAUACCAGCAAACACAGCCCCCUGGUCACCUUCCCCACAAAAUAAGCUAUACAACUAAAAGAGCAGUUUUGCCAGUAUUACUGCAUUUAUACUAGAGGCUAGAGACUUCUGACCAACGUAGCUAUGCUGGCAAAAGUUUGUCAUGUAUACUUAGCCUAAGUUUUGUAUGUAUUGAAUUGGUAAAAUUUAAAAACUUCUUACAAAUACCAGUGCAAAUGUACACCAUACUACUGUAUUAGUUACGAAAAUUAAAGCAGAGUUCCUAAAGGGAGUGGCUUCUCAUAUCUUCAAGAGGAGCUCUGAGUUUUAUUUUUCUAAGGCAGACAGGACUACUUUAAAACAUACUGGCAGACAUCUUUCUCAACAUAUCAAUGUUGCACAAUGUUCCCGUGGGGGAGAAUGUCUAAAAGUGUGUGAUACCACUAUUUCAACAUGUAUUAAAAAAAAUAAAAUAAAAUAAAAAAUGACCCUGUUUCACAAAUUGUAUUAAAUGGUGAAUACUGUUUUUAUUAAAACCUUUUUUAAAAAAAAAACAAACCCUAUGGCUAUUUUUUCUCAGUUUUCUAUUUUCUUCUGUGAUAUUCUAAAAUAUUUCACUACUUUAAAGCUUCUGUUUUCCAUUUAUGCUGUUUGGUUUUAUUUUGUGUUCGUCCUUUAUUUAGAUUUUUCCUAUGCAUGUUUUGCAUAUCCACUUUUCCAUAAGGAAAACUAGAUCAAUUCACAUUUUGAAAUCCAUUUUUUAAUUUCCUUUUUCUCCAUUACUUUUGUCUACCUCUUCCCAUCUAUUCCCACUAGCUUCUUCUGUGCUCUGUACCUGUCUGUUCUUAAUUCUGUUUCAGUUAACCCUUUUCUCCAGUCUGACGUGUUCUCUCCCUGAUGCUGCUUCAAUGAACUUCCUAGCAGUCAGACUGUAAAGAGCUGUGUGCCUCUGGCAGAGGAUGGGAGGAGUACUUGGUGCUGAUUUGGUUCUUUCCCCUUUAAGUCUUCCAAGCACCAGUUUAUGAAUUGCUUUUCUGUGGCCAUGCUCUUAUGGGAGUGAGCGAUGUAGAGGAAGGUUGUUGCACUGGCUGCCUUCUGGUUCGGGCAGCAGAAAUCUGGGUUCUGGCUCUGUUACAGUCUGCCUGUGUGGCCUUGGACAGGUCAUUGAAUCUUUCCCUUGUUCCCCAUUUGUAAAAUGGGUGUUAGUUACCAAAAGUAGAUUCUCAAUCACUUAAAGUCUUUGAAUCAAGAUAGAUGUCUUCCUACAAAAAACUCCAGACUGACCAGAAAUAAUGGCUUGAUAAAGGAACUACUGCGUGAAAUUGUAUCGUGUAUUAUGCAGUUUGACAGAUUAGAUGAUCAUAAUGGUCACUUCUGGCCUUAAAAAUCUGUGAAUGAGCAGAGCACAUUUCACUGCGAUUUUUGUCAUCACAGACAAAUGGGAAUCUUCUUGCUCCUAGAAGGUGGCGAUAGGAAUCAUUUAUGACAUCCCUAUAUAAAAAAAGUAGCUGGUUGUAACUUGAUUGAGUAUGCUAGUAGCAACUAGCAUAAACCAAAUGUUGUGCUCUCUUCCUAAGCUCCAGGGUCCCUGCUGCUGCUCACAGCUUUGCAAAGCUGCAGCAGAGUGAAAACUAACUAGCCUUGCCAGUUUUGUUAUGCAGAAGUGAAACUCUCAAAAAUUAGGUCAGUUUCACGCUGUGUGGAGAAAACUGAGCUGCAGCAGAGGCAGGCACUAAAGCAAUUUACUGGGGAAGAGAACUUAAAAUGGAGAUACCAGCUCACAGCAGCCACAGAAUAGAGUAGCUGUGACUCUUAUCACAGUGGCUAGGAGACUCUGGGGUGCAUGGAAGGAACAUAAAGGGAAGAUCUUCUGCCUUAAAUCAGCUAAAUAGGGUUCAGUGAGAGGGGGCUAAAUAUAUAUAUAAUAUAUUGGACAGCUAACUAGAGACAGUAUGAAGGAUGGAACCCCUGAACAAGCAUCCAAACUCUCCCUUAUCUAGAUCAGUAGUUAAUCUGUUUCAGUAUCUGGUCUCUGGCCAGUUACCUAAUUUCUUAAAGAGAGAGAUGCAAGAAACCUCAAAUGGGACAAUUGUAUAGUAACCAGCCCCUAUAGGAAGUCAGUUAAUGGUUAGCUUAUUCCUUGAAUGAAGCUUGACGGUUUUAUAUGCCUUCCAAAUGUUAAGGUUUUUCUAAAAUGUGAUCUUAACAUAGCUGGAUGUUCUUACUAUUCAUAUAAUCUUAGUCUUUUUUUUAAUCUUGCUAAGCUCUUGGCCUCAGUGGUAUCUGAUGAGGAUGAAUUAACAGACUAAUAGUGUGGUUUGCAAAAAAUACUUCCUGUCAUCAGUUUUAAAUUUGUUGCCUGUCAGUUUCAUUGAAUGCCUCCUUAUUGUUGCAUUAUGAGAACAGCUAAAUAGAAGUACCCAGUCCACUUCCUCUGUACCAUUCAUUAUUUAUAUAUCUAUCAUGUCUCUCCAUUAUUUGUUCUCUGAACAGUUCCAGUAUUUGCUAUCUCUCCAUUUGAAAUAUUUUCCAUUCCACUGUUUCAUCAUCUAGUUCUGAACCCUUUCUAUUUCUGCUACAUAUUUUUGAGAGGGUGAUCAGAGUUGAACAUGUUAUUCCAUAAAAUGGGUUGUAUUCUAAACUGAAUGAAGAAGCUCUUGGGUAGCAGAGAAAAUGCUUUCUCUUUUUCCAGCAGGAGUGACAGAGGUUGAUAAUGGUCUGUGUGAGUCUGGAAAGCCAAUAUGUAAGAUGGAGAGGACUGAGCAGGAUCCAGAAACAGCACCCACUUUGCAAUUGUACCACCAACCUCUUUUCAAACAGGGAGGGGCCUGGCCACCUCUCCAGGGCUUUGUUCCUUGAUCUGACCCGAGGGGACCUGCAUAAUUUUUCACAUGUUCUUUGGCCAAAAAUUAGGAUUUUUUUCAAGUCCUAAUCCUAAGACUUUUUUCUGGAGUUUAAAAUUUGAUGGUACUUAUUUUGAUGAGUUGAAAUUUGACAUUGCCUCUGUAUAGGAGGAUUUUAUUUCAGAGUUGGGUUUGUGCUUUAACAAGGUGAUGCUUCAUUUUACUUGUAAGUAAUUUUUU